ensembl:lncRNA
AUACAUUUAAGUUUCGUAGCUUAGAGGUAACACAGUGUGUUUUCAGCUAGACUCUUUUGUAGUGCAACAAACCCAAACACCACAGUGUAGCCAGGUCGGCUGGAUAGUGUAGCCAGGUCGGCUGGAUAGUGUAGCCAGGUCGGCUGGAUAGUGUAGCCAGGUCGGCUGGACCCGUGCUAAUAUAACCAGAUCGCUUGGAGUCUGCUCAACCCCAGAUACAUUUAAGUUUCGUAGCUUAGAGGUAACACAGUGUGUUUUCAGCUAGACUCUUUUGUAGUGCAACAAACCCAAACACCACCACAGGCUGUUUCCCCACUUAUAGCUGGCUGACAACCAUGGAGUACAUAACGUUGGCCAUUCGAUGGUGCUGGGAACCUAAAGCUCACAUUAAUGUGUGGUCGCCCGAGGAUUCAGGUGUUAGAAAGUGGAGCCUGACAAGAUGGGAAGCAGAAGCCUAUCAACUGCCAACUCAACAUUUGACGAUAGUGUGCAUGCAAAUCGACACCCUGUCGGCUAAUGCCAUCAAGAAACAACUGCUACGCCGAGCAAAAAAUCUGUGGGUAGACCCUAGUUGUGUCGUUAUGACGGAGGGUUGGUUUGAUACAAUCCUCGACUCCUAUGUAGACGCAAGCAAAACAGUGUCACAUACCUACACUACACUGACGACUCCGUGCUCCGGCUCGUCGUUCUACAGACACGUGAAUGACUGCAAUGCCCUUGUCGCUGCUAAGGGUUGGAAGAAGGAUGCCAAAACAACCGCCUGUGAUUCUCACACUAUCUUCCAGCUGCAUUGUAAACAUGAACCCCAUAGCGUGACUCUUCUCGUCAAAAGCCACUCGGGCGAUACUAAGUUGCUGCAAAUCCGAUGCGAUGAACCUAUGUGCAUCCGAGACCUGCUGAAGAGAUACGACAUACAUUGUGAUACGGUGUGGAACGACACCAUGUCCCUGUCAUCCAACUCUCCCUGUAUAGCCUUGACUGACCAUGGCAUGGACCUCAUCUACACGGAGGCCACUCCAGGUAUGAUAACUGGCCGGUUCACAGCGGGGGCUAAGGACACGUUCGAUCAUCGCAUGAAACACCUGAAAGUUCGCACAAAGCACCGCACCAUGAAAAACAAGCCGUACUCUAUACAUACGACACCGCAGAAUGUACCGAGAGGCGCGUCGCUCCUGGACGAUGGUCUAACCCAAGAGGACUCCAACCCAACCUUACCCACCGUGUUAUAUUACAGCGACCCGCUGUCCACGAUCGCCGAUGUGCUGAGGAACGACGGUCGGUUUCUCGCUGAUUGUCGACUCGCCGCAUCUUACGAUGACGGCCAUAACGUGCACGCAGCUGAUGUCGCCAUUUUCGGGGUAGCGCACUAUUG